rnacentral:rRNA from 1 species
UACGUAGGGGGGCGAGCGUUGUCCGGAAUCAUUGGGCGUAAAGCGCGUGUAGGCGGCUCGAUAAGUCUGCUGUGAAAGUCCAGGGCUCAACCCUGGAAUGCCGGUGGAAACUGUCGGGCUAGAGUCCGGAAGAGGCGAGUGGAAUUCCUGGUGUAGCGGUGAAAUGCGCAGAUAUCAGGAGGAACACCAAUGGCGAAGGCAGCUCGCUGGGACGGUACUGACGCUGAGACGCGAAAGCGUGGGGAGCAAACAGGAUAGAUACCCCACG